rnacentral:rRNA from 1 species
GAGUUUGAUCGUGGCCCAGGAUUAACGCUAGCGGAAGGCAUAAUACAUGCAAGUCGAACGGGAAAGGAUUUAGCAAUAGAUCCUUGAGAGUGGCGCACGGGUGCGUAACACGUAUGCAACCUGCCUUUAACUGGGGGAUAGCCUCUCGAAAGAGAGAUUAAUACCCCAUAAUAUAAUUGUACAGCAUUGUGUGAUUAUUAAAAGAUUUAUUGGUUAAAGAUGGGCAUGCGGCUGAUUAGGUAGUUGGUGAGGUAAUGGCUCACCAAGCCGACGAUCAGUAGGGGGUCUGAGAGGAUGUCUCCCACACUGGUACUGAGACACGGGCCAGACUCCUACGGGAGGCAGCAGUAGGGAAUAUUGGUCAAUGGGGGCAACCCUGAACCAGCCAUUCCGCGUGCAGGAAUAAGGCCCUAUGGAUUGAAACUGCUUUUGUACGGGAAGAACACUCCUAACGUGUAGGAACUUGACGGUACCGUAAGAAUAAGGAUCGGCU